GGGCGGGUAGCUCAGUUGGCAGAGCGGUGCCCUUACAAGGCAUAGGUCGCAGGUUCAAAUCCCCUUUCCCGCUCC
rnacentral:tRNA from 1 species